rnacentral:tRNA from 1 species
AAUUUUAUAGUUUAAUCAGAACAUUAAAUUGCAAAUUUAAAAGUAAUUUAAAAUUUAAAAUUU